rnacentral:tRNA from 1 species
GGGGAUAUAGUUUAACUGGUAAAACAUCUAUUUUGCAUAUCGUUAUUUCGGGUUCAAUUCCUGAUAUCUCCA